UUUCCACUUAACUCUUUUUGCGGACUUCUCAGCAAGAUAAGGUGGGUAUAAAUCUAACAAAGAAAAAAAAAGUGGCAAAAUUGUUUGUUUUUAACCAUGCAAGUUUACUUUUUAGCAACACCUCGAAUUUUGUCUUUUUUUGAACUUCUUAAAAAAGAUGUUAACAUUUCGACUUCUGAUUCUUUUUGCACACCCCCUGCUGAAGUCUCCGGAACUACUGUUGCUGAAGUCUAUUCUAACUUGCAAACCUUUCUGGAACAUUUUUCAAAAAAGUUUUCAGAAGUUGAGUGUUUAAGUAACACCGUUGACGUUGAAGAUCAAAAAAUUUUAACUCUAGGUUUUAAUACACGAGCUAUACAUUACUCCCCAUUAAUAUCUAAGGAUAUAAUAAUAAUAAGCAAUAAACCAUGUCCAAAGGUUGCAGUCUCUUUUGAGUUGUUAAAGUACUGUUGGCUUUGUGCUAAAGCUCUAAACUUAACUAAUUAUUAUCUUUUUGAGUUGCUUCUGCAAAGUGAAAUUUACGAACCUCCUUCCUUUGAAACGAGCAGUUCUGGCUCCGACGAAGACAAACUACGUCUUUUAAGAAGAACUAACGAAGAGGUUUUCACUUGGCUAUCGACAAAGAAUAUCAAAGAAUGACGAGAAACGUCAACGUUAACCUAAUUGGUAAACAACAUCUUAUGGACUUUCAAGAUUUAAAAACCGCCAAACAACAAUUAUUUUUCGUAGUCAACCUCCUCGUUACCGGUUUUGGUGUGUUCUACUUCCUCUUUUACGCAAGUAAUGAUCUACUAAACUACCCGCUGGAGAUAGAUAUAAAACUGGUUGCCCCUUCGCUUUACAAGUGAGCAGCUACACAGUGAAUUAACAAAUUAUUUGAUAAUAAAUGACUCUGUGCUCUUGAAACAAGUAUUUAUCGAGCCACAAAGCGAUCUGGACUAAAGAGUCAUAAUGCGCGUCGACAGAGUCAAUCGGAUGUGAAUCUUCGGGGUACCAGAAGGAACACUUCGGGCCAAAAGUGCAUAAUAAAGCUGCAGGCCUUGUGAAGGAAGAAGUUACGGAAGAACCGAGUGUAAAGAGAGUCGGAGUAGUCACGCACGAGAGAUCAUUAGCAACAGGAGAAUUUUUAUAAAGGAG